GCAUCCGCGGCUCCCAGCGCACCUCGCCGCGCCCCGGGCCGCUCCACCCGGACACGAUGGUACUUUACACCAAGCUCCAGCUGUGGUCCUCACCUAGUGCCUGAAAGCCUCAUCUCAUGUGACACAGUGCUGCCACGAAAGUGUCCUGGCACUGUGGUAGAUGUAUCCAAGUGUUAGGGAUCACGUUUGCACUCCUGAGCUGGAGCCAUCACUCAGGUUUAGGACUGCACCAAAGCAAAGAUGCCUCUGUAAGCCCAGGCUGCUGCCAGUCCAAGGGUGUUCUUUGUGUGCCCUCUUGAGUUAGCUGUGGCUUGCAUAAUUAACUAAUUAUUGCUCAUAGAUGUUGGGGGAGGGAGCCAGGACUCUCACUGUACAGUCUGGUGUUUGGGAUGCAGAUGUGUGAAGAUCUUGUCCCCAUCUCAGUGCCUGUGAGUGUUUCAGCUGCACACAAGAGAUGCGCUUCAGCCGGCAGGCCUGAGAGCAAUCCUGCUUUGUCAGAGGUCACCCAUCUCCGGAGAGAGCAUGCCAAAGGGCACUGUGCCAUCUUCUUUGGUGUUCUUGUCAUCCUCUGAGAAGAUGGUGAUUGGAUAUAGGCCUCCAGCUUCCCACCUAGGCUGCAGAGGAAGAGCUACAAGUAAGCAUCUCUUGUCUUAGGGGUGCAGCAGUAAUGGUGUAGUGCUGGGGCCCACCUUCUGCUUCUCAGUGGUUGCUUCUGCAGCUGCUCAGCCAGUUGGUGCCUGUGGAGUCCUUGCCACAGCUGAUUGCUUGUCUCAGGGAAGCCAGAGCUAGGGCAGAUGGUGGCUGAGACUCUGGGUCCUGUCCCAGGAGAACUGCUCUGAAACACUCUUUUCCUCCUCAGUGCUCCUUUUAGGCAGACCAGGAUUAGGAUGCAAACAGCGUGCUGGUCAUAGGCAUGGGCAGUAACAAAUUGCAAGGGGUUUCCAGCAGUCAAGACAAAUGAAAAAGUAACCCCAAGAGCCCAGUGAGCAAAGUGGUCAUGGGAGGAAGAAACAAAGAGGCUUGCACUGAGGAAGUGCAGAGACCUUAUCAUAUCUUCUCUGUCAAAGCAUACACCAAACCAAA